CAGCCGCCGCGGGAAUACGGAGGGUGCAAGCGUUAAUCGGAAUUACUGGGCGUAAAGCGCACGCAGGCGGUCUGUCAAGUCGGAUGUGAAAUCCCCGGGCUCAACCUGGGAACUGCAUUCGAAACUGGCAGGCUAGAGUCUUGUAGAGGGGGGUAGAAUUCCAGGUGUAGCGGUGAAAUGCGUAGAGAUCUGGAGGAAUACCGGUGGCGAAGGCGGCCCCCUGGACAAAGACUGACGCUCAGGUGCGAAAGCGUGGGGAGCAAACAGGAUUAGAUACCCGUGUAGUCCCUGUCUCUUAUAC
rnacentral:rRNA from 1 species